GCCCGGCUGGCGCAAUCGGAUAGCGCGUCAGACUCUUACUGAGGGUAUCUGAAGGUUGCGAGUUCGACCCUCGCGUUGGGCU
rnacentral:tRNA from 1 species